rnacentral:rRNA from 1 species
GACGAACGCUGGCGGCGUGCUUAACACAGGCAAGUCGAACGGAAAGGCCCUGCUUUUGUGGGGUGCUCGAGUGGCGAACUUGUGAGUAACACGUGAGUAACCUGCCCUCGACUUUGGGAUAACUUCAGGAAACUGGGGCUAAUACCGGAUAGGAGCUCCUGCUGCAUGGUGGAGGGUGGAAAGUUGCGGCGGCUGGGGAUGGACUCGCGGCUUAUCAGCCUGUUGGUGGGGUAGUGGCUUACCAAGGCUUUGACGGGUAGCCGGCCUGAGAGGGUGACCGGCCACAUUGGGACUGAGAUACGGCCCAGACUCCUACGGGAGGCAGCAGUGGGGAAUAUUGCACAAUGGGCGGAAGCCUGAUGCAGCAACGCCGCGUGCGGGAUGACGGCCUUCGGGUUGUAAACCGCUUUCGCCUGUGACGAAGCGUGAGUGACGGUAAUGGGUAAAGAAGCACCGGCUAACUACGUG